UUUGUAUCUUAUGCUUUGCAACAUUAGCCUCUAAAGCCCAUAUCUUGUGGACAUUUUUAAGUUGAGGAAGUUUCAUAUUUGUAGGAUUUGUUUUACAUAUCUUGCUGUAGUUGAGUUUGUUAGCUUCUUAANNNNNNNGAGGAUUAAAUUGAGUCACUGGGCUUGACUGCUUUCUUAUUUUAUCCCAUUUUCUUUUUCCAUAACAUUAGAGGAUCUUCUCCCUCACUUUCUAUCUUUGCCUAUUUCUUAUCAUCUCCUUGACUUCUAUCUAGUCUUGAAGACUUGUACCAUGAUGCUAUUUUGCUGAUUGUUUUUUUCACCUUGCCUUCUACCCAACAAACAAUCCGUCUAAAGCUCUACCUCAUUGUAAUGUUUCGCGCCAUUUGCAUUAGGUGUUACAUUAUAAGAGCAAUGAUGGGCUCUUGCCAAAAAAAAAAAAAAAAAAAAAAUGAAAGGUCUCUUUAAGCAAUGUAUUUGAUGUUUUGAUGGACAAAAUAUUUUUGUUUUUGAAUUUGCAAUAUUAGGAGGGUUCCAGAUUAAUAUUUGAUCUGAUGGAAGUGACAGUGAAUUGAACUGAAAAGUGAGUGACGUGCAGGCCUCA
rnacentral:misc_RNA from 1 species